UGUGGGAGCGAGCCUGCUCGCGAAGGCGUCAGCCCAGCCAACUUCGAUGUUGAAUGUGCCGACCUCUUCGCGAGCAGGCUCGCUCCCACA
rnacentral:antisense_RNA from 1 species